UGAGCAAUCUGCCCUUCUCAUCGGAAUAAGCGUUGGAAACGACGUCUAAUGCCGAAUACGACCUCCUUUCACAUGAUCGGAGGUGGAAAGCUCCGGCGGAGAAGGAUGAGCUCGCGGCCUAUCAGCUAGUUGGUGUGGUAAUGGCCCACAAGGCGACGACGGGUAGCCGGCCUGAGGAGGGCGUCCGGCCACACGUGGGACUGAGACACGGCCCAGACCUCCGUACGGGAGCAG
rnacentral:rRNA from 1 species